CAUGUUCCACUGCUUUGCCAAUG
rnacentral:piRNA from 1 species